AUAAUAUACACCAUAUAUACAAGCCUGAACGUGUGUACCGUGCAAGACUUUAAAAUUUGAGUACAAUGUAGAACUAACUCUUAUAACGCAAAAAUAUAUCAUUGCUUAUUAACAAAGAUAUCAACAUUUAAUGAUAUGUAUAUGUCUAUAAUAGAUAGAAAAUAACCAUCUGUAGCAUCCUCUAAAUGCAUAGUAUUUUGGCUUGCACUUCUUGGCUCCCAUAUGAAUGAAGACCUUUUAAUUCAUUAACUCUAUCCAGUGAAUUCAACAGCC
rnacentral:lncRNA from 1 species